rnacentral:tRNA from 2 species
AACCCUUUAGUAUAUAGAGUAUGAUUAAUUUCCAAUUAAUAGGAUUUAAGGGUUA